ensembl:lncRNA
GUAAAGCUGAAUUUAUCCCCAUUGCUAUGGGACAUUUUUGGCCUGUGAAACAUCUGGGGGGUGUCCAGCUGCUUCAGUGGUGGAGAAGUCUGAAGUUGCAGUUCAUAGACAGCAUGAGGAGAGCAAUGCACUGGAUUAGGUACCAUGUUGGAACAAGCAUGAAAUCUCUCAGUUUGACAUAUCUCCACCAUGAAAUGGACUAAGAUUGCCAUGAAACUGAAAGCUAAAUGUUCACAUUUUCCAUUUGUGAAGACAAAUCUGAGAUAUGUAUUUCCAAAAGAAGAAUUAAACAAAGCUGAAUGGUAGAACAAAAUUUACAGUGAUGUUUGGCAUUAUAUACUGCAUGGAAAAUGCUUUGAUUGGAAAUAAAACAAUGCAGAGAAAAUAUCACCAAAAACAAUAUUGAAACACCAUCUCUUCUACCCCCAUCUGAAGGCAGAAAAGAUGUACAAUUAGCCCCAAGCAUACUGCCUUUUUAUUGUCUUUAAAAACAUAGUGUUUUUUGAAAUUAAAAUCCUCUUUUGCAAGAGUGCCUAUACAGUGCUGUCUAGAAUAACCACAUCCAAAUUCCUGCCUGGGAAAGCUACUCAAGGGACUUGUCCCAUGAACUGC